GUAUAUAAGGCGCUGUUGGAUGCAUUUUCAUCAUAUAAAUAUUACUAUUUGCAUUUACUGAAAACAAGCAUCAUGUUCAGGAGUUUCAUGGUUUUGUUCGUUGCUGUGCUUCUCAUAGCCAGUGGCCAUGCAGAGGAGCAACAGGGUGGCGGCGGUGGUGGCGGUUCGGGAAGCGCAAGCGGAAGCGUGGGUGGCGGAUUCGGCGGCGGUUUUGGUGGUAGCGCCGGCGGCAGCGCGAGCGGCAGUUCCAAUGGUGGCGCUCAAGGAUGAAAAAGAUGCUUCACUCUGGCCGUGGCCCUAAAGCACAGUAACUAAGCACUAUUUCUUUAUGUAGUAAAAACUUUUGACUAACACAGUGUUUAAAAUAAAUGUGAAAUUGAAGAUAUUGA